UUGAAGGUAUGUACACAGUUAUUUCAAAUCAGUCUAAACUAAAUCCAGGAGAAAUUAAAAGAGCUCUAUUAAUUUCUGCUGAAACUACAAAUAUGAAUUGAGUUGAGUCAACAACUUAUUUUGCGCAUGCGCCGAAGACAGGAAUUCCACGUGACCUCGUCAAUUGCCGCCGACGCCAUUAACGUGGUGGAGUUCUGUGAAAUCGGUUUUACAAGAGCAUAAUAACCUGCCAUGCUUGGCUUUCUGCUUUUUCCAUUGGUUAUCUGAAUGUGGCCUUGCAAAGAGUGUGGAGUGUCAGAGACUAGCAGGUACAAAUUGUUGAAACAUUAUAAGUUAUGCCAUGGUCAUUAUGGCAGAAAUCAACGCUAUCCAUGUUCUUAUGCGACAUGCCCAUGCACUUUCCGAACAUGGAAUAGCCUUAGAAAUCAUGUAUACCGUGCCCAUGCGUUACCACCACAGACAUCAACACAAUUAGUGACAUUCAGUUGUCAGUUGUGUGAUUGUGCUGAGCUUUCUUCAGAGAAAGAUUAUUUUGUUCACAUAGGGACACACCUUAAAAAUGGUCAGACUUGUAGUUGUGCAUUUCUAGGCUGUAGUUUUGAGACCAACAUUUAUGGUACGUACUAUUCUCACAAAAAUAGAAAACACAAAUCACAUGGUUUAAACGACUUUAAACCAGGUGUUGUGACUUUACAUAGUACAACAGAUACAUCUUUGGAGAGUGCUGAUGAAAACAGGCCAUCAUGCUCCACUGAUGAACCUGAAGCUGAUGUAGACACUCAGUCAGAUGAUGACAGUGAUAUAGUUUCUGUUGCGAGCCUGACAACAGUAAUUAAGGAAAAAGUAGGGUGUCUCCUGUUGAAGUUAGAAAACAUACUGCAUGUACCUACUGCAGCAGUAGAUGAAUUGGUGGAUGAACUACACUUUUUGCUGAAAUCUGCUUCUGUACCAAUUGUACAAGCAACCAUCUUGGAUGUUUUUAGAAAUCAUAAUCUGUCAGUUGAUGAGGCUGUGAUAAAAGAACUUGCUUGUGCUGUGUGUGUAUCCAACCCAGUAGGACAGUGUUUUGGAAAGGAUGGCCCUUUAGCAACAGCCUUCAAAAGAAAAAAGUUCUACAAAGAAAAUUUCAAUGUCAUUGAACCAGUCGAAUACAUUUUAGACUCUAAUAAGAACAGAACAUUUCAAUAUAUUCCAAUUUUACAAUCUUUACAGCAGUUACUGAGCAAGGAGCACUUUUUGGAUCAGGUGAUUGGGAGUAAAAUUGCACAGGAGAAGACCUCUGUAGCAAGUUGUGCUUCUGAUGGUCAUCUGUUCAAGUCUUUUCAAGAUGGACUGUUCUACAGUCAGAGCGAUUUUUGGUCUAAAGAGGAGUUGAGAAUCUCUUUAAAUCUGUAUAUAGAUGACUUCGAAAUUUGUAACCCACUUGGAACCUCCCGCAAAAAGCACAAACUCUGUGGAGUGUACUGGAUCUUAAAUAAUCUCCCCCCUGGCUCUCAUUCAGCACUUUAUUCAAUAUACUUGGCAGUACUUUGCAAAACAGAUGAUGUCAAGACAUUUGGAUUUGAAAAAGUGCUUGAACCCCUUCUGCAUGAUCUCCAUAUUUUAGAGGAACAAGGUGUAUAUAUAUCUCAUAUUGGUGAGUGUGUAAAGGGCACAGUGCAGUGUGUUGUGGCUGACAAUCUAGCUGCACAUGGAUUAGGUGGGUUUGUCGAAAGUUUUUCAGGAAACUUCAUAUGCAGAUUUUGUACAGCACAGAAACAUGAGAUUCAAACCCAUAGUGUUUCAUCUGGGGCUUUCAGGCUUCGCACAAAAGAUGAUCAUGAAGAACAUGUGAAGUGUGCAGAAGAAACCUAUAGUCAUUGCUUUGGGGUAAAGAGGUCUUGUGUCCUAACCAAGCACCUUUCACAUUUCCAAGUCUUAAAAGGCUAUCCUCCUGAUAUCGUGCACGAUAUCUUUGAAGGUGUAGUGCCAGUAGAGCUGGCUUGUUGCCUCUCUGUAUUGAUUUCAAAGAAAUAUUUUUCACUGGAUUUUCUGAACCAGUUGAUUCUGAAGUUUCCGUACAAGUGGGGUGACAAAACAAAUAAGCCUCAUGUCAUACCACACACACUUUCAACCAAGAAAUCCAUAGGUGGCAAUGCCCAUGAAAAUUGGAAUUUGUUGAGGUUGUUGCCAUUUAUGAUUGGUUCCCUAGUGCCAGAGGAUGAACCUGUUUGGUUGUUGAUUUUGGACUUAAAAGACAUUGUUGAGCUUGUGGUAGCUCCAGUGCAUUCUGAUGAGUCUGUAGCAUUCCUUGAGUUUAAGAUUUGUGAACACAGAAAUCGUUACCAAGAGCUUUUUCCAACUACUAACCUGCUGCCAAAACAGCACUUUUUGGAGCACUAUCCACAUAUGAUACAGUGCUUUGGGCCACUUGUAUGUAUGUGGACAAUGAGAUUUGAAGCGAAGCAUAGUUUUUUUAAACAGAUUGCUCGUCACACUAACUGUUUUAAAAAUAUAGCUCUUACGCUGUCUACAAAGCACCAGCUAAUGCUUGCUUUUCAUUUGCAUUCGUCUGGCCUUAAGAGGGCAUCAUUUGAAGUCACAAGCGUUUCACCAGUUCCAGUUGAAGUGCUGAACAAGGAAAUAGCUUGCACUAUCAAACAGAGAUACCCAGAUGUAACGGAAGUCAGUCUAGCCAAGUCUGUAAAUGCAUAUGGAAUAAGUUACAAAACAGGAAUGAUACUUGCUCAUGGAUCACUUGCUGGCCUCCCUGAAUUUGUGGAAAUAAUUCAAAUUUGCAUUUUUCAAGACAAGUUGAGUUUCAUUUGUAAGAAGUUAUGCUGCUGGUACAGAGAGCGUUUCAGAGCAUUUGAAGUAAACUCAUCGCAUCUGAGAGAGUUGGUCUUUGUCGAGCAUGGUGAACUGUUAGAUGACUAUCCACUUGUGUGCUACUUGGUUGGGCCCGUUCAGAUGCUGACUUUGAAAAGAUACAUUCACAUAGCAGCAUAAAACAUAAAAAAGCAUAAAAGAAAGUUUAUAUUCCUUUGAGUAUAAAUAUUCUUCACAGUACUUUUCAGUAAAAAAUACAACAAAUCUUGACACUUAAAAAUGCUUUGAUUGUUUUUCCAUAGGCUAACAGAGGCUUGAGUAGACAUGACUUUCAAAGGCUGAACAGAACAAGAUAACUUUGAGACUGAUAAUCAGGGCAAUGGCUGGA